UCUUUGUGUGGGUGGCAGUUUUGGUUUUCACCCAGAAGGCCCGGGUUCAAUUCCCGGCUUAAGAA